rnacentral:misc_RNA from 1 species
GUUAUCAACGAGAACUUGGGCGACCGGCGACGAUCAGCUGAUCAGAUACGGAGCCCGCUGAGCGCGAUGCGUUUGUUUUUGACGGCUGUGUUUGCGUAGCGUUCUCCCGGCAGCAUCAUAGACUUCGAGUCGAGUGAUGAAGAAGAGGUUGUGGCGGUGCUGAUGUGCUCAGCCAACGUGUCAGCGCUGGCAGCACGAAAACGUUCAAAGCAAGCAAGGUGGUGGUGGGUGAGACCGUCCCUUCGCUCGCGAGAAGUGGCUGGCCACACAGGGCGUCUGCUUCCCGACUUGCGCUCGCACGACGAGGAGUAUUUCCGAGACUUCAUGCGGAUGCCGGCACGAACGUUCGACACUUUGCUUGAACUGCUGUGCCCCGCAAUAUCCAAGCAGGUCACAAACUACCGGCCUACAAUUUCGGCGCACGACUGCCUGGCCAUGACCAUUAGGUAUGCCAAGGAAGUGCGAGAUAAAUUGGCGCACUACUUCGUCACAGACGGUCAGGUGCCUUGGCAGGACAAAGUGGUAAACAGCACUUGAGGCGUACAAGGUGAAGGUGUCGACACCAGUCUCCUCAGCCGUAUCAGGGGUACGUUCCGGUUCCGCUGCAUGGCUUGGCCGAGGCGGUGAUCUGCAGUGAUGAAAACUUCUCUCUAUGUAUUUGAUGAUGCCACUAGUACAUGAACAGUUUUAGGCAUUCUUCGGGAGUUAAAAUGCCAUUAUGAUUUCACUCAACACGAGGUUUAUUUUACACUUGCGUUACCUCUUGAUUGAGCACUGCUGUAUGGAAGGUGUGCAUACAGAAGUUUAAUGUGCCUAUUAUGUUAA